AUGUCUGUAGUCUAAUGGAAAGGCAAUGUCCUACGAAGGCAUUUUAUACGAGUUCAAAUCUCGUCAGACAUU
rnacentral:tRNA from 1 species